rnacentral:rRNA from 1 species
AGUGAACGCUGGCGGUAGGCCUAACACAUGCAAGUCGAACGGCAGCACAGUAAGAGCUUGCUCUUACGGGUGGCGAGUGGCGGACGGGUGAGGAAUACAUCGGAAUCUACUUUUUCGUGGGGGAUAACGUAGGGAAACUUACGCUAAUACCGCCUACGACCUACGGGUGAAAGCAGGGGAUCUUCGGACCUUGCGCGAAUGAAUGAGCCGAUGUCGGAUUAGCUAGUUGGCGGGGUAAAGGCCCACCAAGGCGACGAUCCGUAGCCGGUCUGAGAGGAUGAUCAGCCACACUGGAACUGAGACACGGUCCAGACUCCUACGGGAGGCGGCAGUGGGGAAUAUUGGACAAUGGGCGCAAGCCUGAUCCAGCCCUACCGCGUGGGUGAAGAAGGCCUUCGGGUUGUAAAGCCCUUUUGUUGGGAAAGAAGAGCAGCAGGUUAAUACCCCGCUAUACUGACGGUACCCAAAGAAUAAGCACCGGCUAACUUCGUG